rnacentral:lncRNA from 1 species
GGGGAGUGGCUUUACAUCGCCCUUCGGGCGGGUAGGCCACUCUUUCAUGGUGCCCCCUCGUCCAUUCAUGGCUGGAAGGAGAAGUUCUUCUUCCUUGGCUCUGAACGGUCCUGGGGGUUUGACCCCAGGUGGGGGCCGGCCCAGCUUAAGUCUAUCAACAGGCCCCCCCAGCUUUCUCCGCGUGAGCAGGAGAUCCUCGACACCAUCCGCGGCCUUGGGGACGGGAUCUUGCUGAACGGCCUCAUUAGUGAGGACGCUCUGGUGAACGUGGGGCUGAGCUCGGCACGUCCUCAGGGUAAGGAUAAUAGCAAUGCCUCUUUCAUUUCCUUAAUUGUUCUAAUGUUCUAAUUUUGUUCGUCUUUGCAGACAUCGACAAGAUGGUGA